rnacentral:misc_RNA from 1 species
GCGUCUUGUUUGCGGUUUUUCUGAUUCAUUUCGUUGUCAACUGCCAGUUUAUAUGCUCGGUUGACAUUUUCUUUUACUUUAGUCUAUGAGUACCCGGCUUUCCAUGAAUGAAAGGGGACUAGUAGUUAUCAACUCGGUAACUCACUCAUCAUAAAUAUAUGUAUUUUUUAUAUACCCUGUAAUGCCAACAAAUAACAUUUCGGUCGCAGAGCCUGAUGUGACUUCUUCCAACCAUUAUUCUGUACAUCUUGAUUGGUCUUCCUCUCUGCUCCAGUUCAAAUACAACAUUCUAAAUGAAACUGAGAGAAUCUACACCAUUACACAGCAAUCUGAAGGUCAUGUUGAACAAGAAGAUGGCUGGAAAGAUGUAUAUAUGGGAUAUGGUGAACAUACAGUUGUGAUGGACCUUAAUCCAAGCACUGAGUACAUGUUUCGACUUCGAUUUCAUCGAAGUGAUGAUGAUUACACUUACUGGUCACCUCCAGUAAAAGCCAUUACAUGCAAGGAACCAUUCUAUGGAGAGAACUUACACAAAGCUGUACAUCGCCAGAAAAUUUCCGAAAUUGUGGAUGUGCUAAAGUCUGGAAAUAUCACAGUUGAUGUGACAGAUAAUCAUGGUCUAAGUGCACUAAUGAAUGCAGCAAAACGGGGCCAACCUGAAAUUAUGAAAGUAUUGUUGUCUUAUAAUGCUUCUAUUUCUUGCAAAGAUGAAGCAGGGAAAACAGCUCUAAUGCAUGCCUGCAUUUAUGGCCAGCUAUCAACUGUAAAAAUCCUGUGCAAAAAUGGUGCACUCUAUGAAGAUUAUGAUUUGGGUGGUACUACUCCAUUGCAUUAUGCCAUUGACAGCUGCAACUGUGAUCUCAUUGAGUGGAUGAUUGGAGAUGGAGCAAAUGUGAACAUUCAAGACAAAAAUGCUGGUUGGACUCCAUUGAUGCGAUGUGCUUCUCUCCAUGGUAACAAAUUAGUUGCUUAUACAUUGAUCCACUGUAAAGCCGAUAUUGAUGUCAGGGACAUAAAUGGGAAGACCUGCUUAAUGAUUGCUGUCGUCAAUGGCCAUCUACAACUUGUGGAACUGCUCUUGGAGUACAAUGCUAAUGUUACAAUAUACAAUACAAGUGGCCGUACUGCAUAUCAAAUAGCUGUUUCCCUUGAAAGAAGAGUGAGUAGAUACAUCAUUGAAGUUAAAUUUUACUGGUGGAUUGGAUCAUAAUUGUCAUGGUUCUUCUCAACUUCAAAUCUAACUCUGGGAAAGUACAGCUGCUGCACAUACACUGAUUACCAAAUAUUCACUCAGCCAAUAUUCUGUUACCUCUAGCACACUGAGACAAUAAUAGAAUGCAUGAAGAAGUAUAUGAAAAAGAAAGGAAUAAAGCAUGUAUAAGUAAAUCACUAAUGUUAACAAGCAUAACUUA